AGGUGGUUGGCAGAUUAAUGCACCUGAUUUAGGCUCAGCCCAUGAGAUAAUAUUCUCACCUCCUA
rnacentral:tRNA from 1 species